rnacentral:rRNA from 1 species
UACGUAGGGGGCAAGCGUUGUCCGGAAUUAUUGGGCGUAAAGAGCGCGUAGGCGGUCCGAUAAGUCGGCUGUGAAAGUCAGGGGCUCAACCCUUGGAAGCCGGCCGAUACUGUCGGACUAGAGUCCGGAAGAGGCGAGUGGAAUUCCCGGUGUAGCGGUGAAAUGCGCAGAUAUCGGGAGGAACACCAAUGGCGAAGGCAGCUCGCUGGGACGGAACUGACGCUGAGGCGCGAAAGCGUGGGGAGCAAACAGG